rnacentral:rRNA from 1 species
UACGUAGGGUGCGAGCGUUAAUCGGAAUUACUGGGCGUAAAGCGUGCGCAGGCGGUUUUGUAAGUCAGAUGUGAAAUCCCCGGGCUUAACCUGGGAACUGCGUUUGAAACUACAAGGCUAGAGUGUGGCAGAGGGGGGGUGGAAUUCCGCGUGUAGCAGUGAAAUGCGUAGAGAUGCGGAGGAACACCGAUGGCGAAGGCAGCCCCCUGGGCCAACACUGACGCUCAGGCACGAAAGCGUGGGGAGCAAACAGG